rnacentral:lncRNA from 1 species
UUUAUUUUUAUUCAAGUGUAAAUACCACUGUACACUGGUAUUCAAAAUAUAAAAUAAAUACAUUAAAAGUAUCUACACAUGGUUCGUCAAGAAUAGUAACAUUGUUGUGAUAUUAUCAUACGAAUGUACCACCGAUUGUAUUAUGAAAACAGAUUGUGCAUCAAGAUGUGAGAAAAAACUGGCCGAUAAGGACUCCGUCAAGAUUUCCGGCGAAAUCAGUGCGACCAUGUGUGCGCUACUGACCCUGUAUAUAUAUUAUAUAUUUAAUUUAAAUGUUUAGUCCCCCGACCGACCGUUUGCGUUCAUUUGCAAUCGUCAGCCAUUAUCUACAUUAUUAUAACAAUAUAAUACGUCGAGUAUAAACAUUAAACGCAUUAUGGUUUUAUAGACACAGGUAAAAUAGCGAAUAAUAUAACGAAAAAUACUAAAAUUCCUAACGCACCCUGGACACUCCUUAUGUAGUAAGAAAAUUUAUAGAAUUGGAAAAUAUUGCUAUAAAUACCUACAUUUAAAAAUUCCCAAAAUAAUAUUUUGAAUAACUGCAUAUUUGAAGUUAUAGGUGGAGGGGAGGUGAGAAUUCCCGAUAAAUCACCCUAUAUAUAUGUAUAUAUAAUAUAUAUAUAUAUAUAUAUAUAUAUAUAUAUAUAUAUAAGUUUAGUCCCUUAACCGACCGUUUGCAUUCUUAUGUACUCGUCAGUCGUUAUUUACAUUGUUUUAUGAUAAUGCAAACCUCAAUAACUGGAAAAUAUGGGCCCCUUAUUUAUUUAUCUUGUACGUGUUCAAAGUAUAAAUAUAUUAUAUUAGAACGUUAUGACGUGACGUUAAUAACUACAGAUAAGAAAAAAACAAAUUGUGAAGAUAUUCUGAAUUUACAUUUAGAUAAUAUAAUAUAAGUGUUGCUUUUUAAAAAUCCCUUGAUUAUUUUAAGUUUGUCGAUAUUUUUAUGGAUCUACAUUAGAAUGUCUUUCUAAAAAAAAAUGGUUGAAAAACACUGUCAUAGAAUAUGGGUUAUAGUAAUAUAUUUCAAAAUUUCAAAAAUCUGAAUUUCAUUAGACUAAUAAUUAUUGUUAUCUAAUUAAAUAAAAACGAGCAAACGUCUUUUGUAUGUAGAGAUAAUCAAAAAAAUAUGGAAUACAACUGUGGGGUUGUGCCAGUAAGUCCAAUAUCGAGAUUAUCCAACGUUUCCAAAACAUUGCUCUCCGUACUAUUGUCACAGCAUACCGGUACGACAGAGAUGACAUUAUCCACCGAGAUUUGAGGAUGACGUCCGUCCAGGACGAGAUUACCAAGUUUGCCAGGGAACACGAGAUAAAGCUAGAUCAACACAGAAAUCCAGUAGCAAUUCAACUACUUGAUAACUCUCAAGACAUAAGGCGUCUCAAACGCCGAAGAUCAUAAUAUGACUUAGUAUGAAGUAUUAGACUAAGGCCGCGGGACCUCUCCACUGAGAGUGAUAACCUAAACAUGUUUUUGUAUAUAUUUACUAAAAUAUUUAUGUACAUCCCCGAAUGAAUGAAAUAGAUCAUUGAUCGUUUUAAUAAAAAAAAGCCUUAGGGUGGCUUAAAAAAAAAAAAAUAAUAAUAUAAAAAUGGGGAA